AAACCAACUGGGAUUACCUUAGUAACGGCGAGUGAAGCGGUAAAAGCUCAAAUUUGAAAUCUGGUACUUUCAGUGCCCGAGUUGUAAUUUGUAGAAUUUGUCUUUGAUUAGGUCCUUGUCUAUGUUCCUUGGAACAGGACGUCAUAGAGGGUGAGAAUCCCGUUUGGCGAGGAUACCUUUUCUCUGUAAGACUUUUUCGAAGAGUCGAGUUGUUUGGGAAUGCAGCUCAAAGUGGGUGGUAAAUUCCAUCUAAAGCUAAAUAUUGGCGAGAGACCGAUAGCGAACAAGUACAGUGAUGGAAAGAUGAAAAGAACUUUGAAAAGAGAGUGAAAAAGUACGUGAAAUUGUUGAAAGGGAAGGGCAUUUGAUCAGACAUGGUAUUUUUUAAAUGUGCAAGUCUCUCGUGGACAUGUGCCUCUGGAAAUUAACACUGGGCCAACAUCAGUUCUGGCGGCAGGAUAAAUCAUUAAGAAUGUAGCUACCUCGGUAGUGUUAUAGCUCUUUGGAAUACUGCC
rnacentral:rRNA from 1 species